rnacentral:rRNA from 1 species
CCAAUAGCGUAUAUUAGUGUUGUUGCAGUUAAAAAGCUCGUAGUUGAAUUUCGGGAUUGGGAUAUAUCGGUCGUGCCUUUAGGGGCAUGAAUCAGUGUGUGGCCAAUUCUCACCUUCUGGUGAAUUGGGAUGCUCUCGGGUGUUUCAAUGAACUAGGACUUUUACUUUGAAAAAAUUAGAGUGUUUAAAGCGGGCAUUUUUGCUUGAAUACGUUAGCAUGGAAUAAUAAAAUAGGACGAUGGUUCUAUUUUGUUGGUUUUAGGACCACGUAAUGAUUAAUAGGGAUAGUUGGGGGCAUUAGUAUUCAAUUGUCAGAGGUGAAAUUCUUGGAUUUAUUGAGGACUAACUACUGCGAAAGCAUUUGCCAAGGAUGUUUUCAUUAAUCAAGAACGAAAGUUAGGGGAUCAAAGACGAUUUAUGUACGUCGUAGUCCUAACCAUAAACUAUGCCGACUAGGAAUCAGACAAAGUUAAUUUUUUAACGACUUGUUUGGUACCUUACG